AAAUUCAAAUUUAUUGAAUUGAACUCACAUUUUAGAAUUCUGUUUCUGAUGAACUCUAACCUUCCAAUGUUGCCUUCUAAGCAAAUUGAAAGCUGCCUUAUACCGAAUGAGGAAGAAUACAAAUACUUGGCUGAAUGAGGUAUCGCAAAAGACUGCAUGCACUUUGAAGAAAGACUUAAGUUAUAGUCAUGCGAUUUCCAUUCUUUUUAGCUUUUUCUUAAAUAUACGACAAAUAUCUACACAAA
rnacentral:antisense_RNA from 1 species